GAACGCUGGCGGCAGGCCUAACACAUGCAAGUCGAACGGUAACAUAACUAGCUUGCUAGUUGAUGACGAGUGGCGGACGGGUGAGUAACGCGUAGGAAUCUACCCAGUAGCGGGGGAUAAGCCAGAGAAAUUUGGUCUAAUACCGCAUACGCCCUACGGGGGAAAGCAGGGGAUCUUCGGACCUUGCACUAUUGGAUGAGCCUGCGUGAGAUUAGCUUGUUGGUGAGGUAAUGGCUCACCAAGGCGACGAUCUCUAGCUGGUCUGAGAGGAUGAUCAGCCACACUGGAACUGAGACACGGUCCAGACUCCUACGGGAGGCAGCAGUGGGGAAUAUUGCACAAUGGGCGCAAGCCUGAUGCAGCCAUGCCGCGUGUGUGAAGAAGGCCCUAGGGUUGUAAAGCACUUUCAGCAGUGAGGAAAGGUUGUAAGUUAAUACCUUGCAACUGUGACGUUAACUGCAGAAGAAGCACCGGCUAACUCCGUGCCAGCAGCCGCGGUAAUACGGAGGGUGCGAGCGUUAAUCGGAAUUACUGGGCGUAAAGCGCGCGUAGGUGGAUUGGUCAGUCAGAUGUGAAAGCCCAG
rnacentral:rRNA from 1 species